UACGUAGGGGGCAAGCGUUGUCCGGAUUUAUUGGGCGUAAAGAGCGUGUAGGCGGCUAGGUAGGUCCGUUGUGAAAACUCGAGGCUCAACCUCGAGACGCCGAUGGAAACCAUCUGGCUAGAGUCCGGAAGAGGCGAGUGGAAUUCCUGGUGUAGCGGUGGAAUGCGCAGAUAUCAGGAGGAACACCGAUGGCGAAGGCGGGUCUCUGGGCCGAUACUGACGCUGAGGAGCGAAAGCGUGGGGAGCGAACAGG
rnacentral:rRNA from 1 species